rnacentral:rRNA from 1 species
ACACCGGCAGCUCUAGUGGUAGCAAUUUUUAUUGGGCCUAAAGCGUCCGUAGCCGGUUUAAUAAGUCUCUGGUGAAAUCCUGCAGCUUAACUGCGGGAAUUGCUGGAGAUACUAUUAGACUUGAGACCGGGAGAGGUUAGAGGUACUCCCAGGGUAGAGGUGAAAUUCUGUAAUCCUGGGAGGACCGCCUGUUGCGAAGGCGUCUAACUGGAACGGUUCUGACGGUGAGGGACGAAAGUUAGGGGCGCGAACCGGAUGAGAUACCCGGGUAGUCCUAACUGUAAACGAUGCGGACUUGGUGUUGGGGUGGCUUUGAGCUGCUCCAGUGCCGAAGGGAAGCUGUUAAGUCCGCCGCCUGGGAAGUACGGUCGCAAGACUGAAACUUAAAUGAAUUGGCGGGG